rnacentral:lncRNA from 1 species
UCACAUAUUUUUGGUUCAGUUUGUAUUAGAAUACGUACGAAAAGUUAAGAGCUAUAGCAAUUUUAAUAUUAACAAUGUGUUAGCAAACACAAAGAGAAGUCGGCAGUCAAGAACUCUGAGCCAAACCUUUUUUAUUUGUUUAUUAACAUAUGGGGUAAUGAUAGGCUCGUUCAUUAAUUUAGACGUUUUGCAAUAAAGAUUGGCCAAUUGUAAAAGGUAACCUUAGAUUCCCAUGACGGGUUUGAAAAUAUUCUGGGCUGUAGAACAAAAAAAUAUGAAACAUAUGGGAGUAUAUUUUGUAGUACGUAGUUGCAUGCAUAACAUAUGCGUGCUCUAACAGUCUUAGUAACACUUAAUUGUAAAGCAUGAAUAACGCGUUCCAGUUUCUAAUAUCUUCUCAAGAUAUGGGAUCAUGUAAGGUUCGGAAAUUAAUCA